rnacentral:rRNA from 1 species
AUGCUCCGGGCUGCCUCCAACGCCAGGAUUCUGCAGCCGAUCAAGGCUCGUUUGGCUUCCUGCAGAAUUUCACUUUACGCUGAUGACGCGGGCAUCUUUGCCAACCCUGUGAAGGAAGAAUUGGACGCCAUUGCGGGGAUACUUGCCUGUUUUGGGGAGGCAUUGGGUCUCAUUACCAACGUGACCAAGACGGAGGUGUUCCCUAUUCGCUGCCAGCAGAUUGACCUCGCCCACAUUUUAUCGGGAUUCCCUGUGAAGAUCGCUGCAUUCCCAACUAAGUACUUGGGCCUUCCCCUGCAUACCUCAAGGCUCAAGCGGGUUCAUCUGCAACCUCCCAUAGACAAAGCAAUGGGCAAGCUUCCGGGAUGGAAGGGAAAGAACCUUGCGAGGCCGGGAAGGGUCUCCUUGGCAAAGUCUGUGCUAUGCGCCAUGGCCACACAUCACCUCACUGCGCUCCCUCUUCCGGCGUGAGCCAACCAUAAGCUUAGCAAGAUCUCUCGCAACUUCAUAUGGCAAGGCGACAAUUCCGAGAAUGCGACCGGAGGGCACUCCCUGGUAAACUGGAAGACCGUGUGCAGGCCAAAGGCCCUAGGUGGGCUGGGAAUCACAGACCUAGAGAGAUUUUGUCGGGCUCUCCGCUUACGCUGGCCUUGGCUAAUGUGGACCGACCCUGACCGUCAGUGGGUGGGCUCUGCCCUACCCUGCGACGACUCGGAUAUGGCGCUAUUUAGAGCUUCGACCUCCAUCGUGCUGGGUAACGGCCACAAAGCUCUGUUCUGGCAUGAU